rnacentral:lncRNA from 1 species
UAAUUUGCUGAUUAAAAGAUUGAAAGUUUGAUUCUUAAUUUUGAAUUUUUAAAACGAAAUUUGAGCCUCUGAAUUCUAAACAGAUUAAUUAUGUAAUUGCACUGCAAUGCAGUUGUAACUACACACAAAUUUCAAAUUAGGCGUUUGAUUUAAUACAUUUGAAUCCAAUUGUUGUAGUUGGAACUAUAUAAGAAGGCCAAUUGCAACAGCCAGAAAAAGUAUAACUGUAAUUAAGAAGUUAGUUUAUCUUUUUAAUCACUUUUUAAAUAAAAAAUAUUUUUCCCCACCAGUUGAUGAAAUUUUAUAUAUAUAUAUUUUAAUUACAUGCAACUAAAUAAAUUAUUUAUAAUUACAGUAUUUUCUACUGUGUCAAAUCAAAUAAGAUACGCUGCAUGUAUUUUUAAUUAUACUGUAUUUUUAAUUACAUCUGAUUAAACAGUCCUCCCUUUUGUAACAUGUGUUCAAUUAGUUGUGUGCGCCAAUACUU